UUACGACCAUAUCACGUUGAAACAUUGGUUCUCAUUCGAUCACCGAAGUUAAGCAAUGUCAAGCUUAGUCACUACCUAGAUGGACGACCGUUUGGGAAUACGAGGUGCUGUA